ACGUAAUCGAUUACGAUUGUAAGCCCCACGCGGAGAAAAUGCUUGAGCAUAAGUUAACCCAGUUCUUCCCAGGCGACGCUUCAGAACGGACAGAUGGCACUGUUCAGGUCAACACGUCUCCUUUCGGUCUUGGGGUCCAGCCUCCGAGUUGCCAGCACGAGAGCGGCCAGCAAUGAUGUCAACACUUUCAGGGACACUUAUACUAUGCGGAUGUACAAUGGGGAAAAGCAACCCACGGGCCUCUUCAGCGCCGGGGAGAUCGAGAACCGUAUUAGCAAACUGCGUGAAUACAUGGAGGAGGAUGGUGUCGCUGCCUGCCUCUUUACUUCGAUACACAACGUCAAUUACUA